rnacentral:tRNA from 1 species
GGGUGCAUAGCUCAGUGGUAUUGCAAUUGACUGCAGAUCCUGCAGAUCAAUAGGUCACCUGUUCGAACCUGGUUGGGCCCU